CAUUGCUUGGCUUCAGAGAAUGCUUCGAGUAACUGGUGACCAAGAUUGAGGUGAUCAUGUUGGCUCGGCGUAAGUCUACAGACAUGAUUCCUAGAUACUUCAAAACAAAUGAUCUAACCAAACCAAAAUAAAUUCAUGUAUAACUGCCGCAUCGAACAUGUGGUCGGCAUACAAGAAAAUUAGACAUAUUUACAAAGCAGACUUUACAAUAGAACAUAUAUAUAUGGGGACAAGGUAAUCCCACCUAGCAUAAGAAGAUGCUUGUUCUUGAUUACAGUACAGGACCAAAUCAGACAUCUACUAUGCUCCAACUAAGACGUUAGUGCCCCCAAGUCUACCUACAAGCAUUCUACCAAGUACCUUGCAGGCCUUUGCUUUGCACUGUGCACUGAGUGCUGGUAUACAUUCUGUAACAUAGCUUCAUGGAUUUGCAAAUUGUUUUUUGUUUUGUUCAAAGAACAAAGGCAAAGACCAAGAGGACCACUUGAGCACGGUAUAUAGCCAUAACUGGAA
rnacentral:lncRNA from 1 species